CACAAGAAGAAAAGGAGAAGGUUGUACAGUGGCAGAGGCUCGGGGGAUGGUGGUCGACGGAGGCAGGGGUUCGGGGUCGGGCUGUACGGCGGCAAGGGGCGCAGGCUAGGCUCGAUGGAGCAGGGCCCAGGCAUUUUAUAAGAGUAUGUCUUUUUAGUACUAAUCCAAGCUAAGCUAUUCGAGCCCAAGCCAUCAAGUUUUUUAACCCCAGCCGGUUAGUGCUGCUACUGGUCCCUUCGGCAGUCGACCCAGAGAUUUCGAGUCCCGGAAACGACAAGUUCCUACGAGGUCCAACCUUUUUCACAACAGAUGGUGAUAAAUUAUGAUAAAUAUACCCUACAAUGGUUCAAUCUUUCUCUUUCUCUCUAUGCAAUUGCAAUGGUUCAUAUACCCUACACAUGAACAGAUAAAUAUUUAAUUGUCAUUUUUUAUUUAUUUAUUUAUUUAAAUUUUCUCUGAUUUGGUUUCGUUUCUUAAAUUUUCACUGCAAUUACAAUGGUUCCGUAUGGCCUUUUGGUGUGGUCAACAGGGGUUGGACCAUCAGACUUUGUGAAAUCACUUCAUCUUCCCAACUCCCCUAGUGGAAGGUCCUAAUAAUAUGUACCAUAAAUCCUCUUGUUACUAUACAUUCUUUCACUUUCACUUCUGGUUACAUGUAAUAUGUUAAUAAGAAUGUUACUAACUCAUUAAUGCAUAUUGAGUCUUAAAGGAUUGGUGUGGAAGUAUGGUUGAGGGUGCCUUCUGCGGUAGAUGUGUUUGCACUCGGAGACUGUGCUGGUUUUCUUGAACAGACGGGAAGGGUUGCAAAGAGUUCAUUGGGAAAUGUAUAACAAAAAAAAUGUCAUGAUGCUACCAUAGUUGAUUAUUCCAAUGUUUAAAGUGGACAAGAAGUGUUCAUUCAAAGAAAGAGAUUGAGAGAAAGGUUGAUAGUUAUUGAUUAAUUUAGUCCAUUGAGUUAUAUAUGCUCUUUUUUAUUGUACAAAUAAGUAGGAAUUUAUUCUAUUUUAUAUUGAAUCGAGUUUUCGUUUAUAAUACAUGUUGAGAAAUUUAAAUUUC